rnacentral:rRNA from 1 species
AACGAACGCUGGCGGCGUGCCUAACACAUGCAAGUCGUGCGAGAAAGUUCCUUCGGGAGCGAGUAAAGCGGCGCACGGGUGAGUAACACGUAGGUAAUGUACCGAAGGGUGGGGAAUAACUUAGGGAAACUUAAGCUAAUACCGCAUAAUGCAGCGGCUCGACAUCGAGACAGUUGUUAAAGGAGCAAUCCGCCUUUUGAGCAGCCUGCGGCAGAUUAGCUAGUUGGUAAGGUAAUGGCUUACCAAGGCUACGAUCUGUAACCGACCUGAGAGGGUGGUCGGUCACACUGACACUGAAUAACGGGUCAGACUCCUACGGGAGGCAGCAGUCGGGAAUUUUGGGGCAAUGGGCGAAAGCCUGACCCAGCAACGCCGCGUGAAGGAUGAAGUAUUUCGGUAUGUAAACUUCGUAAGAAUAGGAAGAACAAAUGACGGUACUAUUUGUAAGGUCCGGCUAACUACGUGCCAGCAGCCGCGGUAAU